rnacentral:rRNA from 1 species
UACGUAGGGUGCAAGCGUUGUCCGGAAUUAUUGGGCGUAAAGAGCUCGUAGGCGGUCUGUCGCGUCGGCUGUGAAAACUCGGGGCUCAACCCCGAGCCUGCAGUCGAUACGGGCAGACUAGAGUGCGGUAGGGGAGACUGGAAUUCCUGGUGUAGCGGUGAAAUGCGCAGAUAUCAGGAGGAACACCGGUGGCGAAGGCGGGGUCUCUGGGCCGAUACUGACGCUGAGGAGCGAAAGCGUGGGGAGCGAACAGG